AUUGUCUCAGUGUGUAACAGAGCUCUACAUCAAUAAAACUCACAGUAAUGUAUCUUUAAAUUAUAAUAAAAGUGUUCAGAAAUCAGACUGUGUAAAUUAAUGUAAUUGUUCCUCCAAAUUACAUUUAAAAUGCCAAAAUUAUUAGUCACUUAAAAUGUUUCAGAACAGUCUCGCCCCUGGCCUCACCCCCACUUGCACUCCUAAAAUGAAAGUGUCCCUCCUGAAAUGUUGGCAGGUAUUGCCAAGGUUAAUGUAUAAAAGUUUCAAAUGAGAUCUGCACUUUUUGUAAGAGGACACACUUCACACAUAAAGCACUUCGACAACUGAAGUGCUAUAGGCGUUUAGGACAUUCUUUUAAGCAAACUUCCAUUUUUGGACUUGUUUACAAUCUUGUUGUUAAGUAGCUGCUAUAAACUAAGCCUGUAUAUGUUAGUGUAAGAAAUAUGAAAUAGUUUCC